rnacentral:rRNA from 1 species
UCGAGAAUUUUUCUCAAUGGGGGAAACCCUGAAGGAGCGACGCCGCGUGGAGGAUGAAGGCUUUCGGGUUGUAAACUCCUGUCAUUUGGGAACAAGGUGCACGCGUUAACUGCGCGAGUAUUGAUAGUACCAGAAGAGGAAGAGACGGCUAACUCUGUGCCAGCAGCCGCGGUAAUACAGAGGUCUCAAGCGUUGUUCGGAUUCAUUGGGCGUAAAGGGUGCGUAGGUGGCGCGGUAAGUCGGGUGUGAAAUCUCGGAGCUUAACUCCGAAAUUGCAUUCGAUACUGCCGUGCUUGAGGACUGGAGAGGAGACUGGAAUUCAUGGUGUAGCAGUGAAAUGCGUAGAGAUCAUGAGGAAGACCAGUGGCGAAGGCGGGUCUCUGGACAGUUCCUGACACUGAGGCACGAAGGCCAGGGGAGCAAACGGGAUUAGAUACCCCCGUAGUCC